GACGAACGCUGGCGGCGUGCUUAACACAUGCAAGUCGAACGGAAAGGCCCUGCUUUUGUGGGGUGCUCGAGUGGCGAACGGGUGAGUAACACGUGAGUAACCUGCCCUUGACUUUGGGAUAACUUCAGGAAACUGGGGCUAAUACCGGAUAGGAGCUCCUGCUGCAUGGUGGGGGUUGGAAAGUUUCGGCGGUUGGGGAUGGACUCGCGGCUUAUCAGCUUGUUGGUGAGGUAGUGGCUUACCAAGGCUUUGACGGGUAGCCGGCCUGAGAGGGGGACCGGCCACAUUGGGACUGAGAUACGGCCCAGACUCCUACGGGAGGCAGCAGUGGGGAAUAUUGCACAAUGGGCGGAAGCCUGAUGCAGCAACGCCGCGUGCGGGAUGACGGCCUUCGGGUUGUAAACCGCUUUCGCCUGUGACGAAGAGUGAGUGACGGUAAUGGGUAAAGAAGCACCGGCUAACUACGUG
rnacentral:rRNA from 1 species